rnacentral:rRNA from 1 species
AGCAAUUUGGAAGAAUGUAUAGCAAUAGCUGAUUGCACCAACAAACAGUUGAUGCAAAAUUGAUUAUAUCAAAUAAAAUUCUAGGUAGAUUUUUGAUAAUGACAUUGCUUACCUAAGUCUUGACCAAAUUACGUGCCAGCAGUCGCGGUAAUACGUAAAAGACUAGUGUUAUUCAUCUUUAAUUGGUUUAAAGGGUACCUAGACAGCGAAUAAAGCCAUAGUAGGGACUAAUUCGCUAGAGUUACUUAUGAGGGGGUAUUAAAGUACUGCAGGUGUAGAGAUGAAAUUUUGUUAUACCUCUUUUCGUAUGAGAAACUAUGGCACAGGUAUAGGUGAAAGCAUCCCCUUAUGUGAUAACUGACGUUGAGGGACGAAGGCUUUGUGUCGCGAACAGGAUUAGAUACCCCAGUAGUCAAAGCAGAAAAUGAUGAAUGUCAUAGAUUAGAUAUACAAUUUAUUCUAUAAAUGAAAGUGUAAGCAUUCCACCUCAAGAGUAAUUUGGCAACAUUGGAACUGAAAUCAUUAGACCGUUUCUGAAACCAGUAGUGAAGUAUGUUGUUUAAUUUGAUGAUACGCAAAAAACCUUACCACAAUUUGAAUAUUUAUAUAUAUCUUUUAUUGAUUUUUACUUACAUAUAUGUAGAUAAUUAAAAUGAUGCUUAAAUCUCGUUUGUGAGACUGAGUAUGAAAAAAGAUAAUAUAUUUACAAGCGUUGCACGGCUGUCUUCAGUUAAUGUCGUGAGAUUUUGGUUAGUUCCAUUAAAUUAACGUAAACCCUUACUUUAUUUUUAUAUAAAGUAGUUCCCCGCUAUAUUGGAUAUGAUAACAGGGACUAAGACAAGUCAUCAUGGCCUGAAUAUUGUGGGCUAUAGACGUGCCACAUAAACCUUACAAAAGGAUG